AGCAUUGUGCAAUCUGCAGGUCCUUGAAGAGCUGAGCCUGAUGCUGAAGCAGCAGAAUGCAAAGUGCACACUGAGCAUGUCGUUGCUGCGGAGUAGGAUGCAGUCUGACAUGCUUAGCUUUGCUGAUAGAAUUGUAUCACUUGUGCGGGAUCGUUGUAGGUGCUGUCAAGCGCGCGGGUUGUCAAAGUGUGUCACACUGGAUGGAUCUUCCAAGUGGUAGUUCAAGCAAGGCCCAUUUUGAACGUAAUUCAGGGAAGAAGACUCGGGUUGAUUCCUGCGAUGUGCAAGAUACGAGGCCGGUGUCAUCACAGCAGCCAAACGACGCCCCUGUGUAUGAUAACCCAGUUGUUGAGGACCGAUAAAUGGAAGAGAAGAAUGUAGUAUUAGACAGGAUUAUAUUAUAUGCUCGGGUAAUUACGGACACGGUUAACUGUCUGUACGACAUUGGAGAGGGAGAGCCCAAUGUUGUUUAUUUUGGGACCAUGGUAGCUACGUUGCCAAAGAGGAAGUAUGCCACUUCUGCAAGCUUUGCACGCAACCCAUGGGUGAGUGGGUGUCUAGCUCAGCCCCCACCAGUCCCCUUGGUGGAUAAGUUCUAUAACUGGGUGUCUGGAAACAACAAUUUUGACCUUGACAGCAUGUGGAUUGAGCAUAAAACCCCGCGGAUGCUUCGGCUAAAUGCUACGUGUGUUCAGCAACAAUUAAUUGGGGGACAUCCUCUUGAUCACGAGGUAGCUGUGCUUGCAAUCAGGAGGUUUAAUCAGCUUGAUGUUGGUGCACACGCUGUGAAUCAGUAUAUGCUAUGGAGGGAAGUACUUGAACCAGAUUUCUCGGUCAGUACACCCUUUUUACUGGUUUUGGGUAGAUAUCUUGUAAAUGUUUGCCAGGUUGCAAUUGGUCAUGGAAUAUGUUUGUUUGUUUACUGUGUCUAUAACAGACGCACGCUCUUGCUGGGGAGAAAGUUGUGCAUAUAAAAGCUAUUCAGUUGCAAAUUUCGCAGUCUCAUCAUGAUGUCACAGCAUAUCAGACGUUCUUUGUGCCAGCCAUUCUUGACCAUGGCUGGGCAGCAUACAUGUGAGAUAUGAUCAGGAAGGAGAUUCACAUACUGGAUCCUUUGUGUGCUCAAAUAGUGGGAGCAGAGCAGCGACAUACAACCCAUCACGAGGUGGUGUCACAGAUUCACAACGUGCUAUUUAGUUGCCUUAACAAGUUCUUUGCAAAAUGGCACUACACACCUGACAGAUGGAACCGGAAAUUCCCAAACAUAACCCGGGAAGUAUUUACAAGGUGACAGGGAUGAGUCUGGUAUGUGCAUGCUGCAUGCGAUCAGGCAGUACGAUGGUGAAAAGAUGAUGUGGCCUCUGACGAAGGGGAGGUUUGUUGCAUUGAACAUCCAGAAGAGCGUGUCUGUAUUGUGCUGGUCCUGGCAGUUGAUGGCUUGUUCCUGUAGGAUAGAUUUUAACAGAUGAAUAACAUUAUGAGGUAUGGACGAGGAUGGAAGUGUCAUAUAUGAGAAGUGUGUUGUGCUGAGACUCACCGCAAAGCUUGGGGGAAAUAGCUUCCUCCACCGUGGAGUUCUGUAUUUGUAUAGUAUGCUGUCCUUCAUGUCUAGCGCCAAAACACCUGCUGACAUCCCGUUUGGUUUGAGGCUUUGAUUUUCACCAUAGUUCCGCAGGAUCGAGUGGCCAGUCAUCUCCAAGUGGCAAGGGUCGUCAAUUGAAAGCCAUUUCCUGUUGUUAGCACACCAUCAGUUUCAGUUAUAUUUAUAUUACAAUUGGAAGCACCGGCUCAAAGUUCGCAGGUACAUAUCAAGAUGCAAGAUAUAAAGAGAUUAAGUUGUUUGGUAGCCUGGAACCAGAAUAACAUUUUUUCAUGUGCACUUGUGGGUUAUUUGUUAAUGAUAAAGAUGUUUAUCAGGUUAGAAUGCUUUUUCAAAAGGUUCAGAUGUGAUGUUGAGCUGAGUAGUUGACGGCAGAGCUUAUUUUCUGAAAAGUUAUGAAUGUAUGCCAAGGAGUAAUGCUCACAUGGAACGUUCACUCAUGGUGCAUUUUCUUAUCUUCUUGUACCACUUGUCCACAUCAAUGGGGGGAUCUGUUGUUAUCCUCAGAAAUUUUGCUACGUGAAUCUCUGGCUCUAUUUUUGGAGCUGAUGAAUUGUCUGCAAUAUA